AAAGGAACGUUCGUUGUGAUAU
rnacentral:miRNA from 1 species